AAGCCGUAACAAGGUUUCCGUAGGUGAACCUGCGGAAGGAUCAUUAAAAGUGAUUGGGUUAUACAUUUCAUGUAUCAACUGCAUUAACCCCAUUCCGAGUACCCUUGCCUGUUGCUUCCAUGGGGCCUGACCUAGGUCACUCUUGUGAUGUGAAACCCAAGAGAGUCCCCCAUGGGGAGGUAAUCAUUAAAUUCAUGUAUCCAAUGUCUCCCUGUCUGAACUUUUAUAACAAAUGUUAAAA
rnacentral:misc_RNA from 1 species